rnacentral:rRNA from 1 species
ACCGAUAGUGAACCAGUACCGUGAGGGAAAGGCGAAAAGAACCCCGGCGAGGGGAGUGAAAAAGAACCUGAAACCGUGUACGUACAAGCAGUGGGAGCCUCUUUAUGGGGUGACUGCGUACCUUUUGUAUAAUGGGUCAGCGACUUAUAUUCUGUAGCAAGGUUAACCGAAUAGGGGAGCCGAAGGGAAACCGAGUCUUAACUGGGCGUUAAGUUGCAGGGUAUAGACCCGAAACCCGGUGAUCUAGCCAUGGGCAGGUUGAAGGUUGGGUAACACUAACUGGAGGACCGAACCGACUAAUGUUGAAAAAUUAGCGGAUGACUUGUGGCUGGGGGUGAAAGGCCAAUCAAACCGGGAGAUAGCUGGUUCUCCCCGAAAGCUAUUUAGGUAGCGCCUCGUGAAUUCAUCUCCGGGGGUAGAGCACUGUUUCGGCAAGGGGGUCAUCCCGACUUACCAACCCGAUGCAAACUGCGAAUACCGGAGAAUGUUAUCACGGGAGACACACGGCGGGUGCUAACGUCCGUCGUGAAGAGGGAAACAACCCAGACCGCCAGCUAAGGUCCCAAAGUCAUGGUUAAGUGGGAAACGAUGUGGGAAGGCCCAGACAGCCAGGAUGUUGGCUUAGAAGCAGCCAUCAUUUAAAGAAAGCGUAAUAGCUCACUGGUCGAGUCGGCCUGCGCGGAAGAUGUAACGGGGCUAAACCAUG